UCACAAUACCUAGCUGACACCUGACCAGAAGGACCAAAAAGGGAACAAGAUAUUUUUAAAGUUGGGAGAGGGGAAAACAGUCCUUGGUCUGUUCUUUGUGUGCUUUUGCCUGACGGAGGAGAGGAACCAUCACACUCCUACAGGAUUUCCUGUGGUAUUUUGGCAUUUCUGCUUCUGGACAGAAUCAAGACGAGCAUUAAGUCCCCACCAGCAGACGGAAGAUUUGGCCACCGGAAGCCUGCCGCUGUGUCACUGAAGCACCACACUCAGCUUUGGGUUGCAAGCGUGACAGCCGCCAACCUGGCCAUCAUAUCAGGGAUUGAACCAGGAACCUCCAGAGAUAAAAAAAAAAUGAGUAUCUACUGCUUGAGAUAAAGAUUUAUAUUCUCUGUAGAUUACGUAUGUAAUACACACUGACCAGUGGAUGAUACAGGACUAGAAAUGUAUAAAAAAACCUAUGUGAACAAAGCCCAAAUUGGAAAAACAGCAGGUGAAAAAUUGAAAGGAAGAAGUAUAGUAGGACAUCCCAAUGCCCUGGUUUUAAGUAGUGGCAUUUGAGCUGAAAGUGAAUGGUGAGCUGUGGCACUCUCCGUGCAUUUCCAAGACCUGAAGAAGAGCUCUUUGUGAACUCAAGUUUGUCUCUCUCACCAACAGAAGUAAUAAAAGAUAUUACCUCACCCACCAAUUGUAAAUCAUGUCAGUCACAGCAGAAGGAAUAUUAGAAGAACUGGGAACUGACUGUUAGUGACAUAGUAAAGAUUAGCAUAAUACAAUUUAAUUAGUGUAAGUUUAAAGCACAGCAUUGAAAAUCAUUGUUUACAAAAAGAUGUAUUAUGUGUCAUUCUGUCUGCAUAGUUAAUAAUCUGUACAAAAAAAAAUCUUAAAUGCCAAUUUCAUUUUGCUGGUUGGUUCUAAUUUGUUAGUUCUGUAAGCUUUGUGUAGUGACAAUUAUUUUACCAGAUAUGUGUUUUGGCUGUUAAUGUGAAUUUUAA